rnacentral:rRNA from 1 species
CCUACGGGAGGCAGCAGUGGGGAAUAUUGCACAAUGGGGGAAACCCUGAUGCAGCGACGCCGCGUGAGUGAAGAAGUAAUUCGUUAUGUAAAGCUCUAUCAGCAGGGAAGAAAAUGACGGUACCUGAGUAAGAAGCCACGUCUAACUACGUGCCAGCAGCCGCGGUAAUACGUAGGGGGCAAGCGUUAUCCGGAUUUACUGGGUGUAAAGGGAGCGUAGACGGCAGUGCAAGUCUGCAGUGAAAGGCUGGGGCUCAACCCCCGGACUGCUCUGGAAACUGUACGGCUGGAGUGCAGGAGAGGUAAGUGGAAUGCGUAGUGUAGCGGUGAAAUGCGUAGAUAUUAGGAGGAACACCAGUGGCGAAGGCGGCUUACUGGACUGUAACUGACGUUGAGGCUCGAAAGCGUGGGGAGCAAACAGGAUUAGAUACCCGUGUAGUC